UUUAAACAAAAUAAUUAUAAAAAAUUAUAUAGUACACAUUAUGCAUUAUGUGUAAUCGUGCCUCAUAGAAGCUGCAAUCUCAUCUCUUAUAGCAUUCAUCUCUGCGACAUUAGCUGGUAACCAAAUCUUGCUAUCCUCACCACCAACAUCAUGUGGAUCCAUAUCUUGUUACUAUAAAAUUAGAAAAAAUAACAUAUAUCAAAUAUUAAUGAAAUUAAAGAAACUACUUCUAAACAUACAUAGCUCAAACUUUUGAAAUUAAUCAAAUUCAACAUAGCAUGAAAGCCAUUUUACCAAUAUGUCAUAGAUUAAAAAUUCAACAGUCCAAAAUAAAAAAUAUUCCAAUACAACUUCACCAAUUCAAAUUAAUGGCAUAAACAAAAACAGAUAUAUGUAUUCUGCAUCCUUAACACAAAUACAAUGCUAUUCGGCAAUCAUCAUUUUCCCCAAAUAUAUUUAUCUGAAAUUACAAUUUCCAGCUUGCAUUUCGAUUCAAUGACAGAGAGAAAAUAUUAAAACUCAUAAUGACCAAGCACACAAAGCAACAACAUAGCAACAAUUAAAGCAGCAAGACAAAUCCCCCAAUUCCAGUUCAUCGCUGCCUUUUUUUUUCAUUCUGCAAACAAAAUCAAAGUGUACCAAAAAUAUUUUUACACGGUUUUGCUUUCAAAUCAACACAAUUACUCAUAAUCUAAAAUAAUUACUCAAAAUUAUUAAAACUCAUAAUAACAAAGCACACGAAGCAACAACAUAACAACAAUUAAAUCCCCCAAUUCCAGUUCAUCGCUUCCUUUUUUUUCCAUUCCGCAAACAAAAUCAAAGUGUAGCAAAACUAUAUUCACACGGUUUUGUUUUCAAAUCAACACAAUUACUCAUAAUCUAAAACAAUUACUCAAAAUUAUUUUGGCUUGAAUAGAGGGAAUACACAAUUAACAUGCUUUAAAAAAAUCUCGCAAAAUUAUUCAAACAAUUACUGAAAUAAAAAAAAUUACCAGCAAGCUGAGAGAGAUGCAGCAGUUCAGUCGAUCAAGUAGGAGCGGCGGUGGCUACACGGAGAUGGACAGCAGUGGCUAUGCUCAAACGGAGCAGCAACGGCCACGACGGAGAGAGAACGGCACACCAAAGGACAACCGCGGUAGAGACGAAGUUGCAGCGGCGGCAGAGAAAGUGUUGUUGGAGGGAGAAAAGGAGAGAGAGAGCGGGUAGAGAGAAGACUGCUACCGAAGAAAAGGAUGAGGAGAUAAGGAGAGAGAAAAUGUUGUUGGAGUAAGAAAAGGAGAAAGCACUGCUGCCGUGACUAGAUCGAUAACGAUGGCAGGGAGGGGGGGGGGUGACCAGAUCGAGAACAAUGAGAGGGGGGAGAGGGUUGCUGCCGAAGAGAAUGAGUUUUGUUUCUUAAUCUAUUUUUGAGUUUAGUUUGUAAUAUUUAGGAAACAUGUUAAACACAUUUUCAUGUUUGUAGUUAUAACACUGGAUCUGAAUUUGUUAUUUUGUGAUUUGUUUUUUGAAUCCAUCUCACCAAACAUAUAUUAUGUUUGUAUUAUGAAAACAAAAAUGAAAACAAUGGGUAAAAAACGCUACCAA
rnacentral:lncRNA from 1 species